rnacentral:tRNA from 1 species
GCCAGUUUGGUCUAGUGGUAAGGCACCAGGGUAGAAACUGGGAGAUUGUGAGUUCAAGUCCCACCUUAGGCA